rnacentral:misc_RNA from 1 species
GGCACGAUAGGCGAUACGCUUGAUAACGAGUGAGCGUGGCAGGCCGAGGGCAGACGCCGCUUCACGCAGCGGAUUGGGUACCAGGCCCAGCAUGUCUUCGGUGGUGCGCACCACGACCGGGAUCACGAUCACGGCAAGCGCCAGCGCAGCGCCGAGAAGCCGCCCAUCGGUACAACGACCGCACCAUACACGAACAAACCAAUGAUGAUCGACGGCGCGCUCAGCAGGAUGUCGU